rnacentral:tRNA from 1 species
GACCCUAUAGCUCAAAUGGAUAGAGCACCGGUUUCCUAAACCGAGAAUCCCGGUUCAAUUCCGGGUGGGGUCA